GGCUACGUAGUGUAGCGCCUAGCACCCUGGACUUUGAAUCCAGUAAUGUGAGUUCGAAUCUCGCUGGAAACU
rnacentral:tRNA from 1 species